GGCGGGAACUCUAGAGAGACUGCCCGGGUUAACCGGGAGGAAGGGGGGGAUGACGUCAAGUCCUCAUGGCCCUUAUAUCCAGGGCUACACACGUGCUACAAUGGUAAAUACAGAGGGCAGCGAGCCGGUGACGGCGAGCGAAUCCCUAAAGUUUAUCUCAGUCCGGAUUGGAGUCUGCAACUCGACUCCAUGAAGUUGGAAUCGCUAGUAAUCGCGGAUCAGCAUGCCGCGGUGAAUAUGUUCCCGGGCCUUGUACACACCGCCCGUCACACCAUGGGAGUUGAUUAUACCCGACGUCGCUGGGCUAACCCUUCGGGGGGGCAGGCGCCUAAGGUAUGGUUGAUAACUGGGGUGAAGUCGUAACAAGGUAGCCGUUGAGGAAUCAGCGGCUGGAUCACCUCCUUUCUAAGGAAAGUAUACAGUAGUACCAAGCGCUCAGCUUUAAUUCACUGGCCAAUUUUGAGAGAUCAAAUCUCUUAACGCUCUUUGACAAUUUGUUGUAGUAGAUAAAAUAUCAAUUGCGAGUUCCCGCAAGG
rnacentral:rRNA from 1 species